UUUCUAAGGCUAGACUUCAUCCGAGUCCCGCAAAUAAUACUUUAAGUUAAGUCUCAUAAGCCAGACUUCAGUUGAGUCCCUCGGGUGAGACUUUAGGUUGAAACCUGUUUGACGAGACGCUUAGCCCCUCAGGUGAGGCGUUUAGAGGAGCAUGUAUGACGAAACUCUUAGUCCCUUAGGUGAGGUGUUUAGAGGAGCAUGUCUUAUGAGACUCUAAG
rnacentral:lncRNA from 1 species